rnacentral:tRNA from 1 species
GGCGCGUUCGUCUAGUGGCCUAGGACAUCGCCCUCUCAAGGCGAAGACCACCGGUUCGAAUCCGGUACGGGCUA